GGGCCCAUGGUGCAGUGGUGGCACAUUGUGGAAUGGCCAAGGUGUGAUCGGCUCCAAACAACAACAACAAACAACACUUCCCAUCAACCAUUCCACAAAGACCUCGGUUCGAUUCCGAACAGGCCCA